ACGGGUGAGUAACACGUGGGUGAUCUGCCCUGCACUUCGGGAUAAGCCUGGGAAACUGGGUCUAAUACCGGAUAUGACCUCAGGUUGCAUGACUUGGGGUGGAAAGAUUUAUCGGUGCAGGAUGGGCCCGCGGCCUAUCAGCUUGUUGGUGGGGUAAUGGCCUACCAAGGCGACGACGGGUAGCCGACCUGAGAGGGUGACCGGCCACACUGGGACUGAGACACGGCCCAGACUCCUACGGGAGGCAGCAGUGGGGAAUAUUGCACAAUGGGCGAAAGCCUGAUGCAGCGACGCCGCGUGAGGGAUGACGGCCUUCGGGUUGUAAACCUCUUUCAGCAGGGACGAAGCGCAAGUGACGGUACCUGCAGAAGAAGCACCGGCUAACUACGUGCCAGCAGCCGCGGUAAUACGUAGGGUGCAAGCGUUGUCCGGAAUUACUGGGCGUAAAGAGUUCGUAGGCGGUUUGUCGCGUCGUUUGUGAAAACCAGCAGCUCAACUGCUGGCUUGCAGGCGAUACGGGCAGACUUGAGUACUGCAGGGGAGACUGGAAUUCCUGGUGUAGCGGUG
rnacentral:rRNA from 1 species